CCCGGAUGUUGUCAACAGUCCCCAAAUGGCGUUUUGUUUGAAACGAGCCAGAAAUCAAUGGUUGCUUUUCCACUAACGUCCACCAGAUGUCGACAGAACAAGUAAACAUGGAGGAGAAUGACUGAACCAAUCAGAUCAAGUCUUGCUUAAAUACUCCCACCUGUCCUCCCACGUGACCAGAUUGCUCAGACCCAUUUUACUAUUUGACUCCACACUGAAGCAUAUUUUCAGAAACUUCAAGGACGGACCGGUCGUCGACGAAGAUGGCUGAGAGUAUAAAUCCGCCGGCGUCGACGAGGACGAGGCGACGAAUGAGGAAAGGCAACCCGUGCAGGUGACGUGCACGGAGAGGUCGAUGGUCAUAGAGGUGACGGCCGACGUGUUUGGAU